GACGAACGCUGGCGGCGUGCCUAAUACAUGCAAGUCGAACGCUUCUUUCCUCCCGAGUGCUUGCACUCAAUUGGAAAGAGGAGUGGCGGACGGGUGAGUAACACGUGGGUAACCUACCCAUCAGAGGGGGAUAACACUUGGAAACAGGUGCUAAUACCGCAUAACAGUUUAUGCCGCAUGGCAUAAGAGUGAAAGGCGCUUUCGGGUGUCGCUGAUGGAUGGACCCGCGGUGCAUUAGCUAGUUGGUGAGGUAACGGCUCACCAAGGCCACGAUGCAUAGCCGACCUGAGAGGGUGAUCGGCCACACUGGGACUGAGACACGGCCCAGACUCCUACGGGAGGCAGCAGUAGGGAAUCUUCGGCAAUGGACGAAAGUCUGACCGAGCAACGCCGCGUGAGUGAAGAAGGUUUUCGGAUCGUAAAACUCUGUUGUUAGAGAAGAACAAGGACGUUAGUAACUGAACGUCCCCUGACGGUAUCAAACCAGAAAGCCACGGCUAACUACGUG
rnacentral:rRNA from 1 species